ensembl:snoRNA
GCGCAUUGAUGGCGGGCCCUUCUCCUCGGGCCUCUCGCCGUAUAUCCGGGCCGGGGGAGCUUGUGGCCUUAAACCGUGGCCCCGGUCCUCACUGGUGGGCUGUGAGCACCGGAGGGGACUGCCCAGGU